rnacentral:tRNA from 1 species
GAAGGUAGAGCUCAGUGGUAGAGCGCAUGCUUAGCAUGCAUGAGGUCCUGAGUUCAUUCCACAGUACCUCCA